CGUCUUGUCUCUUUCCGGAAUUUUGUUAUCCGUAUUUGUCCAGAUAGGUUCCUGAGUUACUUACCUUUUGUUACUUCCACGAGUAAACACGCGACAAUUUAACUGUUGUAUUUCUUCUUUGUUUUGCUCUGUCUGCCCACAGUCUUUUUACCAAUUCAUCUCACUUCACUUCAUCAUCAUAGUGUAAUGUCAUCUUGGAAUCAUAUUACCAAAAUAAACGUCCGUUUGCACA